GUACUGAAACACCGGUUCUCGUACGACCACCGAAGUUAAGCAACGUCGACCCUGGUCAGUAAGUAGAUGAGUAAUCACUUGUAAAUAGCAGGUGAUGUA